rnacentral:rRNA from 1 species
AUUGAACGCUGGCGGCAGGCCUAACACAUGCAAGUCGAACGAGUGGCGGACGGGUGCGUAAUGUAUGGGGAACUGCCCGAUGGAGGGGGAUAACUACUGGAAACGGUAGCUAAUACCACAUACCAUCGGAUGUGCCCAGAUGGGAUUAGCUAGUAGGUGGGGUAAAGGCUCACCUAGGCGACGCUCCCUAGCUGGUCUGAGAGGAUGACCAGCCACACUGGAACUUAGACACGGUCCAGACUCCUACGGGAGGCAGCAGUGGGGAAGAUGGCACAAUGGGCGCAAGCCUGAUGCAGCCAUGCCGCGUGUAUGAAGAAGGCCUUCGGGUUGUAAAGUACUUUCAGCGAGGAGGCGUUACUCGCAGAAGAAGCACCGGCUAACUCCGUGCCAGCAGCCGCGGUAAUAC